rnacentral:rRNA from 1 species
AUAGCCCGAAGAAAUUUGGAUUAAUCCCCUAUAAUAUCAUGAAUUCGCAUGAUUUUAUGAUUAAAGCUUCGGCGGUAAAAGAUGAGCAUGCGUCCUAUUAGUUAGUAGGUGAGGUAACGGCUCACCUAGACAACGAUAGGUAGGGGUCCUGAGAGGGAGAUCCCCCACACUGGUACUGAGACACGGACCAGACUCCUACGGGAGGCAGCAGUGAGGAAUAUUGGACAAUGGACGAAAGUCUGAUCCAGCUAUGCCGCGUGCAGGAUGACGGCCCUAUGGUUUGUAAACUGCUUUUAUACAGUAAGAAAAAAUCCGACGUGUCGGAUCUUGAC